CCCUAUGGGGCGCAGCAGGCCAUAGAAAAAUUUCCGGAGGUCAUGGAGCAGUUUGUGGAGAAACUGAUGGCUGAGGCGAGAGAAAUACAGAAGCAGGAACAGUCACGGAUAAUAGUUCCGCAAUCGUCUCUUGAUGAAAGUAAGAUAAUCCUGAAAUAAACCCGGAUCACGCAAUAGAACGUGUAGGCAACUGGAUAAGUGAGUAUUAUCCUGGUCAAAGGGUAUUACUUUUUUAUUGCGUAAUCCGGGAUAAAUUUUGUUCGGGAGAGAGACGACCUAUGGGGGGGGACCGCCCCUCUCCCUAUGAUAGGGAUUUUAAAAAUCCCUGAAAUCCUUGUCGUCAAGAGGAAUGAUCUCUUCCGGCUUCAAUUGGCGAUCUUUCCCGGAGGGCUUUCCCUUUGCUUCACCACCCUUGCGCAGAAAAGGAAUUGGCGGGAGAGC
rnacentral:rRNA from 1 species